UACGGGGGGGGCAAGCGUUGUUCGGAAUUAUUGGGCGUAAAGGGCUCGUAGGUGGCCAACUAAGUCAGACGUGAAAUCCCUCGGCUUAACCGGGGGACUGCGUCUGAUACUGGAUGGCUUGAGUUUGGGAGAGGGAUGCGGAAUUCCAGGUGUAGCGGUGAAAUGCGUAGAUAUCUGGAGGAACACCGGUGGCGAAGGCGGCAUCCUGGACCAACACUGACACUGAGGAGCGAAAGCCAGGGGAGCAAACAGG
rnacentral:rRNA from 1 species